rnacentral:rRNA from 1 species
GUGAAGAGGAAAGAGCUCAAAGUUGGAACCUGUUUGGCUUAGCUAAACCGGAUUGUAAACUGUAGAAGUGUUUUCCAGACACGCCUGGUAAAAAAGUCCUUUGGAACAGGGCAUCAUAGAGGGUGAGAAUCCCGUCAUUGGCCAGAGCUGUUGUCUUUUGUGAUACAUUUUCAAAGAGUCAGGUUGUUUGGGAAUGCAGCCUAAAUUGGGUGGUAAAUCUCACCUAAAGCUAAAUAUUUGCGAGAGACCGAUAGCGAACAAGUACCGUGAGGGAAAGAUGAAAAGAACUUUGAAAAGAGAGUUAAACAGUAUGUGAAAUUGUUAAAAGGGAACCGUUUGGAGCCAG